rnacentral:rRNA from 1 species
AAAGGGAGAUUAAUACCGCAUAACAUAAGAGAAUCGCAUGAUUUUCUUAUCAAAGUUUUAUUGCUUUGAGAUGGACCCGCGGCGCAUUAGCUAGUUGGUAAGGUAACGGCUUACCAAGGCAACGAUGCGUAGCCGACCUGAGAGGGUGAUCGGCCACACUGGAACUGAGACACGUACAGACUCCUACGGGAGGCAGCAGUGGGGAAUAUUGCGCAAUGGGGGAAACCCUGACGCAGCAACGCCGCGUGGGUGAUGAAGGUCUUCGGAUUGUAAAGCCCUGUUUUCUGGGACGAUAAUGACGGUACCAGAGGAGGAAGCCACGGCUAACUACGUGCCAGCAGCCGCGGUAAUACGUAGGUGGCGAGCGUUGUCCGGAUUUACUGGGCGUAAAGGGUGCGUAGGCGGAUGUUUAAGUGGGAUGUGAAAUCCCCGGGCUUAACCUGGGGGCUGCAUUCCAAACUGGAUAUCUAGAGUGCAGGAGAGGAAAGCGGAAUUCCUAGUGUAGCGGUGAAAUGCGUAGAGAUUAGGAAGAACACCAGUGGCGAAGGCGGCUUUCUGGACUGUAACUGACGCUGAGGCACGAUAGCGUGGGUAGCAAACAGGAUUAGAUACCCUGGUAGUCCACGCCGUAAACGAUGGAUACUAGGUGUAGGGGGUAUCAACUCCCCCUGUGCCGCAGUUAACACAAUAAGUAUCCCGCCUGGGGAGUACGGUCGCAAGAUUAAAACUCAAAGGAAUUGACGGGGGCCCGCACAAGCAGCGGAGCAUGUGGUUUAAUUCGAAGCAACGCGAAGAACCUUACCUGGACUUGACAUCCCUUG